AUCGAUUAGUUUGGUCUGCCACACGAUGAGGCCGGCCCGUCAAUGAAGAAGGCCGUCGAUAGACGAGCGAAUCGAUUACUGAUCAACAUGCCCACUGCAGCCACAUCUGUCCAAAAAACUGCAUCUGUGAGCAAGCAACCUCAGUGCAGUGCUUUAGGGUUCAGUCUGUACCACCGCUCAUCUCAAACAACCUGAAGAAAAUACACCUGGGAUACAAUCAUCUCAAAGAACUGAAGGCCAGAGAUUUUUCUGGUCUGCCAGGCCUUGAAGAAGUAGUUCUGUCUUCUGGUGGGAUCGAGCAGAUUGACGCCAAUGUGUUCAGAUCUCACGUGUUGUUAAGAACUCUGGACCUUCAAAAAAACUAUUUGAGACAGCUUCCCCGUGGCCUGCCCUCUGGCCUGGAGAUCCUGCAUUUGGGCCACAACAGGAUCCACAGCCUACAAGAGUCACCCCUGGAGGGCCUCGAGAAGCUGCGGGUCCUGAACCUCCAGAAUAACCAGAUUAGCACCUUGCGCGCAAACACCCUAACAUUACUUCAAAAGCUUGAGUGUCUUUAUCUGGAUGGAAAUAAAAUCGAAUCAAUACAUGGCGCCCCCAGGUUGCCCUUUCUACAUUUGCUUAGCAUGGGAAGCAACAGGAUCUCCUCCAUAUCAUCAACGUUCUUCUCUUCACUGCAGCUUCUAAA